UAGACCCGAGUAAGAUCCUCCCCUCCUUUUUUUUUUUUUGUUUUUUCCUUGUUGAUCCUGUCUUCUUUCCGUGGACUUCCCCAAAUUUGCGUUCCCGCUUAAUCCCUCAAAUAUUCGACAACGUUUUUUGCUCUCCCGCUUAAUUAGGUCGCGCCUCCCAUCUCUCACACCUCUCGUUUUCUGCCUUCCACUCCAUUCUAGGGUUUGAAGUUGGAGCAUAUCUCACGUCAACCUCCGAAGACCUCUGUUCAUCUUCUUCGUAUUUCACGUUCUGGUCGGCGUUCUCUUUUGCGUCCACCGGUGCCGCCAACGACACAACCUUCCGCAACUGUCGUCGUUCUUCAGCUCUGCCCCUCCGCCACUGCCGAUUGAAUCGCUCCCAUUAGGCCGUUAUCGAUUAACCAUAAAUACCAUAGCAAGCUUCAAUCGGUCUGUUCAAUCGAAGCUUCAAUCGCUCCUGUCAUCGUUUUGUUCGACCAGUAGGCUCAGUCGAAGGUUCAGACCUGCUCAAUCAACGACUAACUUUGCUUAUUCGUCGGCCAAACCUAUUCAAUCGUUGCUUCCAACACAGGUAGGUGAUGGCGAUUGCUAUGUAUCUUGUUAACUAGAGGGAACUCCAGAUUCAUUCUUGGAUAGAUCAGCAGAUAUCACAGGGGACACAAAUGGAAACUAUGAUGUCUAGUGAUCUGAUGCAUUCUAGAAUGCAUGUAAGUGGACCCUAGAAACAGUGUGAUAAUAAGGUGGAGGAAAAUGGUGGUCGAUGGUAUUUUUCUAGGAAAGAAAUAGAAGAAAACUCACCAUCAAGAUCAGAUGGAAUUGAUUUGAAGAAGGAGACUCAUCUUCGCAAAUCUUAUUGCACAUUUCUGCAGGACUUGGGUAUGAGGCUUCAAGUCAAUUCUGAAGAAAUCUGAUGAUUGUGAGUUUCUUGACUUCUUCUGACAACAAGUGCUUCAGUUUACUUCAUUUGUCAAGAGAUUGCUUCAAGCAAUGAUGGAUCCUAAUAGACCUAUUGAUUAUCUUAGCAGAUUGCUUUAGUUGCAUUGUUUCUUGGUGCUCUUUAUACACUUAGUCCUUUUGACUUCCUCCCAAGAUGUAAGAUAUCUAUUCAAUGUUGUUUAAUAUAAAGGUGUGCAAUUUUACCUUUAUUAACGUUUAAGUUUCUUCUUAUUAUUUAUUAUUUUUAAUAAUUACAAUUGGUUUAUUCUAGAUUGAAGCCCGUGAUCAUCAGCUGUACAAUGAUCUUGAUUACAUUCAUUUCUGCUAUUUUUUCUACUGGUCGUGCUGUUUUUGCUAUUGCAGAUUGUUGUUGUUGUUUUGUGAUAUUGCUGUUGUUGCUAUUUUGCUAUUUUGUGCUAUUUUGCUAUUGCUGUUUUGUUGUUUUAAUAAUGUAAAUUGAAUAUGGUAUUUGACAAAAAAUUGGAAAAUUUUAAUUUUUUUUAAAUAGACGAAGUUAGCUACGGAAUAGCUACAGAUUUCCGUAGCUAUUUAGGUCUGUAGCUAUUCCGUAGCUAUUUGGAUCCGUAGCUAUUCCGUAGCUAUUUAGGUCCGUAGCUAUUCCGUAGCUAUUUAGCUCCGUAGUGAUUCCGUAGAAAUACCGUAGCUAUUUUUUUUCCAUAGCUAUUCCGUAGCUAUGGUAGCUACGGAAUUUUCCGUAGCUAAUCUGUAGCUAUAAUUUAGCCACGGGCCAUUAUGCUACAGCCAUGUUUCCGUAGCAAUUGCGUAGCUAUCCGCUUAUAGCUACAGAAUAGCUAUGGAUUAUGCUGUAGCUAUUUAUCCAGUUUUCUAGUAGUGAUUAAUUCCAAUAAAACAAUAGAAACAAGAAGUGCGUGAAAAACACAGCAUAUGGGUAGGUAUAUUAUUAUUAUCUUAUUGUUUAAAUUUAGUUGUUUGUUUUAAUUAUCGUAUGUUUAUUGUUUUCUUUAUUUUAUGAGAAAAUUCAAGACGAAUACGAGAAAAUGCAAAGUGAGGUCGGGGAAGUCCGAGAAGUAGAUGAUGAAGAAUGGCUUGCACAUGCCAUCAGGACGAGACGUGGGCAUGCUCGUGGAGUGGGUACGAGAUCAACCGCCAACUUCGGUCUAAUUCCAAAUGAAUGGGCUAAGGCUUCCACUUCCACAUCAUCCCAAUCUCAACCCAAAUCUCAAUCCCAAUUUGAUGCAUAACAUAUGCAAGAACACUUGCAAUAAUAUAAUGUAUCAUUGGCGACAUGUAUUUCUAACUUCCAACCGCCACCAUUUCCUAUUGUUCUAUUCAACUCCAACACAAGGAAGUACCUCUCAACAAAAUGUCGAGCUCAAGAGGAUGGAAGAAGACAGAGAAGCAGAUGAUGAUGAUGAUGAUGAUGAUGGUUAAUGUUUUGUGUUAUAUUGAAAAAGGUUAACUACUUAUUUUAAUAUGAAAGUUGACUUUGAUGUUUUGAAUUUAAACAAUGGUAGCUAGUUAUUGUAUCUUAAUUGAUAUAUGCCGCAAAGUGUUUGGAUUUGUUAAAAA